rnacentral:lncRNA from 1 species
UUUUUUUUUGUGCGUAAGAUCAAUUGAGCUAGUUUAGAAAAUGAAGCACAAGAUCCCUCUAAAAGAAAUCCAGUGAAAACUUUGAUAAUUAAAUACAUAGGGAAAAUGAUUGGUAAGAAUUUUAUUCAAUUAAAAUCAUAUCAAGUUCUUAUGAUGAAUUAGUAUACUAGUUAAUUGUUUUGACGUUGGUUAUACAAAUUUUAUUUUGAAAAGAAAAAAAAAAUUAAUCACACAUUUAAUUAUUCCAGAAAAUUUUACUAUCUCCGCUUUUUAUUAUAAAUCGCUUUGAAAAAAUAUUUUAUAUCACAAUAUAAGUCGUUUUAUAAUAUCAAUAAAUCAUUAAUGUUAUUUUUUUUAUUAUAUCCUUAAAUAUUAUUAUUCUCUUUCUUUUUAAUUAUGUCAAUUUAUCUUUUCAUUAUCAUUAAUGAAUGACAAUUUUAUAAAAUCCUUCGUAUUUUCUCUUUUUUAUAUCAUAAUUAUUAUAUUUCUUAAUACGUCUGAAAUAUAAAAAAUGAUUUAUAAUAAAAAACGGAGGGAGUAACACUUUCUAAUGAUGUUCCUUUUUUAAAUAUUUUAAAAGAGUAAUAUCAAUUUAAUAUGCUUAGAAGUAUGACAAAGCAUAAUUAUAUUUAAAUUAUUACAUAGAAAUACAAAUAUUAAAUGACAAUUUAUGAAAUAUUUCAGCGUAUACCAAUCUUAUGAAACUAAAUACCAAAUCAUUCAUAAAUUUAAUCUAUCAUGACUUUAACACGUACACAUCGUUUACGAAUACAAACUGCUUUAAAUGAUUUCCAACAAGGAAGACAUAAACAAUCAGCAUCUUGUGUACAUUUAAAUCUAGU